UGUCUCAUCGGUGUUGGUUUAGUCGCUA
rnacentral:piRNA from 1 species